rnacentral:rRNA from 1 species
UACGUAGGGGGCAAGCGUUGUCCGGAAUCAUUGGGCGUAAAGCGCGUGUAGGCGGCUUGGUAAGUCUGCUCUGAAAGCCCGGGGCUCAACCCCGGGAGGCGGGUGGAUACUGUCAAGCUCGAGUCCGGAAGAGGAGUGUGGAAUUCCUGGUGUAGCGGUGAAAUGCGCAGAUAUCAGGAGGAACACCGGUGGCGAAGGCGGUUCUCUGGGCCUUACCUGACGCUGAUGCGCGAAAGCCAGGGGAGCGAACGGG